CCUAACUCCACUCCUCUCCCCUCUCUCUCCCGAUUCAGAUGCACUCCUCGCAGACGCCACCCCAAUUCAGCCGAUCCCACCGUCAGCGCCUACGCGCCACCACUCGCUCCUCCUCGCCUUCCAGAUCGCGCCGCCACCUCCCUCCCCAUCCCCUCCUGGAUCUCUCCCUCAGUGAGCCACCGGCGAGCCCCUCUACUGCCCGCGCAUGCACAACCUCGGCUCCUGCUACUCUCCAUCGACCCCGAUGCUCCUACUCCAGCCGGCAUCUGGCGGAGCAUCGCCACUCUGACCCCCUCCCUUCCCCACCCGCUCCUCUUGAUCCCGUCCCCUUCCUCCCAGUCGUCUUCUCCUUGCGACGCCCCACCCUCCACCAGGCCCUCCGCCAGCCCGAGCCCCUCGCUCCCUUCUCCACCAGGCCCUCCACCUUCACUUGACUUGACCAUGUCAUCGUGGGGGAUGGGGUCGUUGGGCUCACGGCCGAGCUCGACAAGGUGGAGCUCGUGCGCGCCCACGACGAUCCUGAGCGCAACGCCGGCUUCUGCUUCCUCUACUACGCGGACACCGAGGCCGCGGUGGAGCGCGCGGCGCAGGUCGAUGGUGUAGGUCGCGGGCGUGGCGGAGCCCAUCCAUCCACCCAUCUUCCCCAAAGUUUCCUUCGACAAGUAGCAGCAACGGAAGGCCAUGGCGACGAACGUGCAGAUGGGCGGCGGCUCUCGCUCAUCAACAACACCUUCUACUCCAACAAGGAGAUCUUCCUCCGCGAGCUCAUCUCCAACUCGUCAGAUGCGCUUGACAAGAUCCGGCUCGAGAGCCUGACGGACAAGAGCAAGCUCGACGCCAGCCGGAGCUCUUCAUCCGCCUCAUCCCCGAUAAGCCCAACAAGACGCUCUCCAUCAUCGACAGCGGCGUCGGCAUGACAAAAUCAGGAACGUCACUGGAUUCUGGAAUCUGACCGAGAUCCCGCCGGAGCUCUUCAACUCGAUGGAGCUAGUCUCUCUGUGAGUCAUGGCAUUGGUGUCUGUUGCUGUGCAAACUGCUUACACUAGGCAAUGCGAGAAUUAAACAACCUACUAGAAGUAGGACAAUGAGAUCAAUGUGCCUAACAACAACCAGCAGUUCAUCAGCAUCCUGACUGGCCAUGUUAACUCCGCGUCCUACUUCUCGAUGGAUGCUGCAUCCUUCCCCAGCAGGCUGCCAAUGGCUGCGUGCCUGCACCCUGCUGCUUCUGCGCCGGUGCCGGCCACCGCGCCCAGUCGCCACGGCCAGCGGCAGCAGUCUCCUCGGCGGACGGCAGUGUGCAGGUGUGCACCCUGGCACUGGGGACUAGAGACGUGCAGCAUAGAAGGCCAGCAGCUAGGAGCUGAGCAGCUGCACACAGAGCCGGAGGUAAGAUUGAGGUGGACCAGAUUGCUAAUUUCUACCUAGUACAGUACAUUUCGUUGGUUGCUAGAGAGCUGAGAGCUACCUAGUGCAUAGAAGAUGAAUCCCAGCUUGUACAAAUAAAUGAAUGAUAAGCAGGCUAAGUAACAUAAUAACCAGCCUUUAGUUGUCUGCUAAUUGCUAUCCAGUACAGUACAUGAACACAUUUACAUAUUCGUUGAACUUCUCAAUGCAUGUACUAUGUAGGCUUGAGACUAAGUUGCUGCUUAGGGUCAAGCUGGUUGGAGGCGGGUUUAGUGCAUCCAUGCUACUUGAUAUUAGAUGUAUUUUUUGUUAUGAUUAUUAAGGAAUACUAUCAACUAAUAUCAAAUAGCACAGCUAGUGAUCUAUCUGGUUCUAGUGAAUGGGCAGCUGCAGAUGUAGAAUACGGUGAUGUGCACUGAUAGUAUUGCAGUAGUAGCAACAGAAUAGCCCAACUCUGAAGAAAAGCUUGUAACAAAAUUGAUGCAUAUGAUUAAACUGAUGUGUAAUUUGUUGUGCACAACUGACACGUAAAUGCUCUCUCGGGUGUCGGAGCAACAGCGAGCAACGGACCUUUUCUCGCAGAAGGUGAAGAGGUCGUCGUUCAGCACGUCGGACAAGGUUCUUCAGCUGUCGGACGAGGUGGAGGCAUGCUUCCUGUAGCACUUCGUGGGUAACGACUCAAGAUGGUGGCCUCUAUUCAUGUUUCGUCGUGAGCUCCAGGAUGAAGAAGUUGGAAGAAGCAAUGCAUGAUGGAUCUAGGAGCAGUAUAAUGCUGAUUUGUAAACUUGUUGUAAUGCUAAUUCAGGUUGUAAUGCUGAUUGUAUGUGGCAUCCUUCAUUGUACACUUGUGGAGUUUGUUAUAUGAUUGUAAACUUGAUGCUGAUCACAUUGUAUGUGUGUU